CCGCCGCCGCCAAUCUCCACCGCCGCCGCCGCCGUCGCACGCCGCCGCAAGCCAGCCAUCGUAGAAGCCGCGUCGUACCGCGUCCGCCAGCCGAAGGAGCCGCGCCGCUUCGAUCUGAGGCAGGUCAGCCGAAACCCGUCGCGUCCCGAAGCCGAAUCCACCUCUGCGCCGAACGCGUCGCGAAGCCGAGAUCCAUCUCCACGUCGAAGCCGCGUCGCCAGCCAUCGUCGUCUGCAUCCGAGCCGCGAACGCGUCUGCAAAUCCGAGCCGCGAACGCGCCUACACCCGAGCCGUAUCGAAGCCGCGAACGCGCCCGCCUCCAGCCGACGAACGAACCCGAACCCGGAACCGCCCGCGCGCUCGAACCUGGAACCGCCCGCGCGCCCGAACCCGGAACCGAACCCGCGCCCGUGCCACACGUGCCUGACUCUCCCGCGUGCAAGCGCGCCGCGCCGUGUGUUCCGCGUAGCCGAGCCGCGUCCCCUCCCUGUAGCAAGCCGAGCCGCACGCGAAGUCCCCAUACCGAGCCGAGCCGCGUCUGCACCAAGCCGAGCCGGUCCUGCCUUCUUCCAGCCGAGCCGCCAAGCCUGUUUUGGCUCCUUCCACCUAAAUUUUUGCAAAUUGGACCAAAUAGCUGCUGCAGCUUAGGACUUCCUCAGUAGGAACUCAUCUAGCAACAUCUCGAGGUAGAGGACGAGGCAAGGGCAAGGGCAAGCUGGCGAGCGACGUGAAGUGACCGUGGCGAGCCAUAGGGGUUUUCCUGCUUCCGCACAUGUUUUACUUUACAGUUAAAUUCAUGUUUCGGCUUUCUGCAUGUUUACUUUGGUUAUUUUUGUAGAUAGGGCCCGCUUAGGGAUUUUAAACUUAACUCGUAUUUCUACAUGUUACUUUAACUAUCUUUCAUAAAUACAUUUGCUAGAUUUCUUUGCAUUUAUUUACACCGGAUUUUAUGACUUAAA